rnacentral:rRNA from 1 species
AACGAACGCUGGCGGCAGGCUUAACACAUGCAAGUCGAACGCAUCCUUCGGGGUGAGUGGCAGACGGGUGAGUAACGCGUGGGAACGUGCCCUUCAGUUCGGGAUAACCCAGGGAAACUUGGGCUAAUACCGGAUACGUGCGAGAGCAGAAAGAUUUAUCGCUGAAGGAUCGGCCCGCGUCUGAUUAGCUAGUUGGUGGGGUAAUGGCCCACCAAGGCGACGAUCAGUAGCUGGUCUGAGAGGAUGAUCAGCCACAUUGGGACUGAGAUACGGCCCAGACUCCUACGGGAGGCAGCAGUGGGGAAUAUUGCACAAUGGGCGCAAGCCUGAUGCAGCGACGCCGCGUGAGGGAUGACGGCCUUCGGGUUGUAAACCUCUUUCAGCACCGACGAAGCGCAAGUGACGGUAGGUGCAGAAGAAGGACCGGCCAACUACGUGCCAGCAGCCGCCGUAA